GUUAUUACUUGUCUCCCGAGAACUCUUAUUCUCAAUUGGCUUUUCAUUGAAUGUAUCGAUUAUAGCAAGACCAAUACCUUUUGAUUCUAAUUUCUUAGGUGAGUGCUGUUUGUUAUUGGGUGAGAAAACUUCUGGGGAUUUUCGCUGGUUUAUGUUAAAACCAAAGGGGUAACCAAAAGGAAAGAAUGGUUUGUUGUCAAGGAUUGAAGUAGGACUCUUGAUAGCAUCAUUCUCGGGGAGACCAUUUGUAGUGAAAGCUUUAAAUCUUGGAGAAUCAAAGAAAGAUGGGAUUGGUUUAGUGUGAUUCUGGGCAGGGGAUGAUUGAGAGCUGUGAUCAGCCAUUAAAGCUUGCUUGCUGGUCACUGAUCUGGACCUAUUCCUUAGCAUAUCUACCUCUUAUCAGAUUUAUAUCAGCCCCCAAAAAUUUUAAUAUGAAACGAAACCAAAAACAAAUGAAAGAAUCAGAUUAAUUAAGCAGAAGGAACACCAAACUAAAAGGACAGAGAUGGAAAGUCAGAAAAGGCAUGAGCUCACCUGGAAGGCUGGAAAUGAUUUGCGCCUGUCACAAAAAUCCACCUUCAGAUGUUGAAAACUCAAAAGUAGGUACCACGAAAAAAAAAAAAAAGUAAAACGGGUUCUCUGUUUUCUGCUAAAACUCUACUGGAAAUCCCUCUCAAACAUUACACACAAAUCCAUGCAAGUUUUUUUUUUCUUUUUAAUUUCAACAGAAAAGAAAACGCCUAC
rnacentral:lncRNA from 1 species